CUGGCCUGGGCUGCAGAGCUGCUGCUCGGGGUGUGGGUGCCAAGACCCACAAUGAGCCCCUUGCCACCAUCACUCUCACCACGCCUCAAGGCACACCUCAAUCCCAUGGGGAGGGAAGGGCACUCAGGGGGAACACGUCCUUUUCUCCAUCUCACUUGGCUUCCUCCCAUCUUUCUCCACUCCAUCUCCCAGCAGCUCAAGGUCCAUUUUCAUCAGGCACUGACAGUCACCAGGAGAAGCAGUCUCAGCACCGGCGGGCACCACGCGCAGCCAACCCGUGCCCCCCACCCUCUGUCACCAGCACACAGGUGACAGCAGCCACAUCCGCACAGCCACCACGGCGCUGCUCACCCACCUGGGGCACACACGCUGCCACCGUGGCAAAGGCAGCUGUGGGGUGGGAGCGCUCCACAAAGUCCCAGCACACACAGCAGGGAACCACUUCUGCACCAUCAAGGAGGCUCUGGUGAUGCCCAGGAGCUGGGGCAGCUGGAGAUGAGCUGGGAGAGCUCCUGGAAGGUGCUGGCACCACCAGCGAUGCCCUCCUCAGCUCGCACAGGGCCCGAGGAGCACUCUCCCAUGCAAAACCCCAACUGUGGGGUUUGCUCCUCCACACCAUCACUUUGGGAGGUCACCUGAGGGCAGCCAGCACGGGCACUGCUGGCAGCCAAGGGGAAAGCGGGCAGGGCCAGUGGCCACAAGAGCUUUCAGCAAGCCAAAAUCUGCUCACAUCUAAGGGAUGGCACCGCUCCCCAUCAACGGCAGUGGGGAACAAACAAGCACCCCAACAGCAUCCCACUCUGACGUCAGUGAGAACCUCCGGCAGGUCUGCAACGUCAGCCACGACACUUCCAGCGGCCGGAGAGCCCCCGGGAUGCCACCCCUGGGGCAGCUCAGCCCCUCCUCUGGGACCCCUGGGGCAGCUCAGCCCCUCCACUGGGACCCCAGCGCCACGCUCAAGGUAUCCGGUGUAAGCCCUCGCUGCAGGGUGGUGGCAGCUGGUUAUUCAUGAGUGUCUUGGAUGUGCCACCGGCCACCAGCACCUGCUGUGCACCCAGAGGGGUGGCACCCAGGACCCCUCCGUGCCUGUGUCCCCAGUGCUGACACCCA